rnacentral:rRNA from 1 species
CCUACGGGAGGCAGCAGUGGGGAAUAUUGGACAAUGGGGGGAACCCUGAUCCAGCCAUGCCGCGUGUGUGAAGAAGGCCCUCGGGUUGUAAAGCACUUUCAGUGAGGAAGAACGCCUGGUGGUUAAUACCCAUCAGGAAAGACAUCACCCACAGAAGAAGCACCGGCUAACUCCGUGCCAGCAGCCGCGGUAAUACGGAGGGUGCGAGCGUUAAUCGGAAUUACUGGGCGUAAAGCGCGCGUAGGUGGCUUGAUAAGCCGGUUGUGAAAGCCCCGGGCUCAACCUGGGAACGGCAUCCGGAACUGUCAAGCUAGAGUGCAGGAGAGGAAGGUAGAAUUCCCGGUGUAGCGGUGAAAUGCGUAGAGAUCGGGAGGAAUACCAGUGGCGAAGGCGGCCUUCUGGACUGACACUGACACUGAGGUGCGAAAGCGUGGGUAGCAAACAGGAUUAGAUACCCCAGUAGUC